rnacentral:rRNA from 1 species
UGCGUAGGUGGUUUUGUAAGCGUGGGGUGAAAGGCAAUAGCUCAACUAUUGUAAGCCCUGCGAACUGUGAGACUUGAGUGCAGGAGAGGAAAGCGGAAUUCCUAGUGUAGCGGUGAAAUGCGUAGAUAUUAGGAGGAACACCAGUGGCGAAGGCGGCUUUCUGGACUGUAACUGACACUGAGGCACGAAAGCGUGGGGAGCAAACA